CCUGCAAUGAUUUGCCAAGAUGAAGCCGCGCGAUCGGGCCUUGUCAUAGUCACCAUACGAAACGGGAUAACGCCGCAUGCCCAAUAUUGAGCUGAUCGAAAGCUAUACUGACGAACUCAUUGCCAUCCGCCGCGACCUUCAUGCCCAUCCCGAAAUUGGUUUCGAGGAACAUCGCACAUCCGGCAUCGUCGCGGAAAAGCUCGCCGGCUGGGGCAUCGAGGUGCAUCGCGGCCUCGGCGGCAC
rnacentral:misc_RNA from 1 species